rnacentral:lncRNA from 1 species
ACAUAAUUACAAACUUUAAAGAGUUGUACAAGGCAACUCUUAUUUCUUCACACAACAAAUUGUAAGUGAAGAAUUAUGGUACAUAAAGUGUCCAUGCCUUUGUGCUUUCUUCUCAAGUUCUUUGUUCAUUUAACAAAGAAACAAGCACUAAGUGUUUGCAUUGACUAAGGGUUGUUCAAAGCAACUCCUAUUUCUUCAUACAACAAUUUGUAAUUGAAGAAUUAUGACAUUAAAAGUGUUGUCCUCUUUAUGAUAGACCUUUUCUAACAUAUUCUUCUAAUGAUACAUUAUCAAUAGGAAGAUUGUGAGGAUGAGACUACUUAGAUACAUAUGCAAUCCAUUUAAGACAUUCUUUGGGAUUGUGGUACCAAGUCCGGAAACUAAAACAUUCGGUUUUUAUUUGUCAAGUGAUGGAUAGCGUUUGCAAAUAUAUUGGUAAACAAAUACAUAACGAAUAUAGAUUGAUUGAUUUUAAGCCAUUUGAU